rnacentral:tRNA from 1 species
GGCUGGUUAGCUCAGUCAGUUGAGCAUGGUGCUGGUAACACCAGGGUGGAGGGUUCGAUUCCCAUUUGGUCCC